CAGCAGCCGCGGUAAUACGUAGGGUGCAAGCGUUAAUCGGAAUUACUGGGCGUAAAGCGUGCGCAGGCGGUUCGUUAAGACAGAUGUGAAAUCCCCGGGCUUAACCUGGGAACUGCAUUUGUGACUGGCGGGCUAGAGUAUGGCAGAGGGGGGUAGAAUUCCACGUGUAGCAGUGAAAUGCGUAGAGAUGUGGAGGAAUACCGAUGGCGAAGGCAGCCCCCUGGGCCAAUACUGACGCUCAUGCACGAAAGCGUGGGGAGCAAACAGGAUUAGAUACCCCUGUAGUCCCUGUCUCUUAUAC
rnacentral:rRNA from 1 species